AGGUGUAAGACCUCGGCAUACUGCUCAGUAACACGUGGUUAACCUGCCCUAAGGUGGAGCAUACUCCCGGGAAACUGGGGCUAAUACUCCAUAGUGGAUAUAUCCUGGAAUGGUAUAUCCUCGAAAGAUCCGUCGCCUUAGGAUGGGACUGCGUCCGAUUAGGUUGUUGGCGGGGUAACGGCCCACCAAGCCUUUGAUCGGUACGGGUUGUGGGAGCAAGAUCCCGGAGAUGGAUUCUGAGACAUGAAUCCAGGCCCUACGGGGCGCAGCAGGCGCGCAAACUUUACAAUACGAGCAAUCGUGAUAAGGAAACCCUGAGUGCCUGUCGAUGCAGGCUGUUCAUAUAUCUAAAUCAUAUGUGAAGAAGGGGCAGGGCAAGACCGGUGCCAGCCGCCGCGGUAAUACCGGCUGCUCGAGUGAUGGCCACUAUUACUGGGUUUAAAGCGUCCGUAGCUUGACUGUUAGGUCUCUUGGGAAAUCUUCACGCUCAACGUGAAGGCGUCUAAGAGAUACCGGCAGUCUUGGAACUGGGAGAGGUAAACCGUACUUCGGGGGUAGGAGUGAAAUCUUGUAAUCCUCGAGGGACGACCUAUGGCGAAGGCAGUUUACCAGAACAGCUUCGACAGUGAGGGACGAAAGCUGGGGGAGCAAACGGGAUUAGAUACCCCGGUAGUCCCAGCCGUAAACAAUGUGCGUUAGGUGUGUCGGUAACCACGUGUUACUGAUGCGCCGAAGAGAAAUCGUGAAACGCACCACCUGGGAAGUACGGUCGCAAGGCUGAAACUUAA
rnacentral:rRNA from 1 species